CAAAUGUUCCUAUAUUUUCAGAUACAAGAGAAUGCCAAUGCUUCCUCCCACCACACCUAGCAUGAUGUAUUAUCAUGAACUCUAGAAGACUGGAGAGUUGGACCAGUUUUCAGGUUCAGAGAAGCUCGUGGUGGCUAUGGAGAGGUACAAAAGCCUGCCCUCUUCAAGAAAACUAAAUUUCAAAUAUUUACUAGAUAAGGAAAUGGAGAAGUACAGAAUGCAGAUAGAUGAUUGGGAAAAUAAUCAAGACGAGUUAACGUUGUUUAUGAGAUACUACUUGGAGGUAAAAUUAAGAAAACAAAAAAUCCUAAGAAAACCGCCCCAUCUGCAAGUACCCGUCGUCAACUGUUAAAAUCAUCCGAAGCAUUUAAAAAUGUGAUAAAAUUUGAAAUGUCCUUCCCAGAGUUUCUUGAUGAACCAUGCAAACCUCCUAAGAACCCUUUUAUGCUCUUCUGUAUGAGGUUAAAACAUUUGGCACAGUCAAUGUGAAUCACAGUCCCAGAUCAAAAAUGUGUGUUUAAAAGAAUGGGAAAAACCUGUCCAAGGAUGAGAAGCAAAGAUAUACUGAACGUUGUGAAGAACUUAAGGAAAAAUAUGCAGAACAAAUAUAACUAGUAUU